rnacentral:rRNA from 1 species
GAUGAACGCUGGCGGCGUGCCUAAUACAUGCAAGUCGAGCGAACGGACGAGAAGCUUGCUUCUCUGAUGUUAGCGGCGGACGGGUGAGUAACACGUGGAUAACCUACCUAUAAGACUGGGAUAACUUCGGGAAACCGGAGCUAAUACCGGAUAAUAUUUUGAACCGCAUGGUUCAAAAGUGAAAGACGGUCUUGCUGUCACUUAUAGAUGGAUCCGCGAUGCAUUAGCUAGUUGGUAAGGUAACGGCUUACCAAGGCAACGAUGCAUAGCCGACCUGAGAGGGUGAUCGGCCACACUGGAACUGAGACACGGUCCAGACUCCUACGGGAGGCAGCAGUAGGGAAUCUUCCGCAAUGGGCGAAAGCCUGACGGAGCAACGCCGCGUGAGUGAUGAAGGUCUUCGGAUCGUAAAACUCUGUUAUUAGGGAAGAACAUAUGUGUAAGUAACUGUGCACAUCUUGACGGUACCUAAGCAGAAAGCCACGGCUAACUACGU